UUAAAACCUAAAGUUGAAGAGUAUUAGUAAACUUGAAAUUCAAAGAAUUUGGCGGUGUUUUAAUCUAAUUAGAGGAACCUGUCUCAUAAUCGACACUACCCGAAAAUCUUACCUAUCCCAUGCUUGUAUACCGUCGUAAUAACUCUGUCAAAAGACCACAGUUUACAAUAAUUAAAUCCUAAACUUCAGAUCAAGGUUCAGCUUAUGCCUAGGAGAAGAUGGGUUACAAUAUAAAAAUAUAAAACGAACUUAAAAAUGAAAACUUUAACAAAGGAGGAUUUAAAAGUAAUUCUAGUUGCAUAAAACUAAAAUGAAUUAGCCCUAAAACAUGC
rnacentral:rRNA from 1 species